rnacentral:rRNA from 2 species
UUGGUGCUUGCAUCAUGAUUUACAUUUGAGUGAGUGGCGAACUGGUGAGUAACACGUGGGAAACCUGCCCAGAAGCGGGGGAUAACACCUGGAAACAGAUGCUAAUACCGCAUAACAACUUGGACCGCAUGGUCCGAGCUUGAAAGAUGGCUUCGGCUAUCACUUUUGGAUGGUCCCGCGGCGUAUUAGCUAGAUGGUGGGGUAACGGCUCACCAUGGCAAUGAUACGUAGCCGACCUGAGAGGGUAAUCGGCCACAUUGGGACUGAGACACGGCCCAAACUCCUACGGGAGGCAGCAGUAGGGAAUCUUCCACAAUGGACGAAAGUCUGAUGGAGCAACGCCGCGUGAGUGAAGAAGGGUUUCGGCUCGUAAAACUCUGUUGUUAAAGAAGAACAUAUCUGAGAGUAACUGUUCAGGUAUUGACGGUAUUUAACCAGAAAGCCACGGCUAACUACGUGCCAGCAGCCGCGGUAAUACGUAGGUGGCAAGCGUUGUCCGGAUUUAUUGGGCGUAAAGCGAGCGCAGGCGGUUUUUUAAGUCUGAUGUGAAAGCCUUCGGCUCAACCGAAGAAGUGCAUCGGAAACUGGGAAACUUGAGUGCAGAAGAGGACAGUGGAACUCCAUGUGUAGCGGUGAAAUGCGUAGAUAUAUGGAAGAACACCAGUGGCGAAGGCGGCUGUCUGGUCUGUAACUGACGCUGAGGCUCGAAAGUAUGGGUAGCAAACAGGAUUAGAUACCCUGGUAGUCCAUACCGUAAACGAUGAAUGCUAAGUGUUGGAGGGUUUCCGCCCUUCAGUGCUGCAGCUAACGC